UUCAAGCACAGCUAGGUUUCUGGUCAAAACACGACCGCUGGAUGACACUGGCAGCUCUGACCUGAUGCUGUGACUGCUGCUACCACUCCACCUUCUUCUGUUGCUACUUCUGUCAGCUACAGUAACAUUUUUGCCACUGCUGUUUCCCUUUGAAGGCCCUGGCACUGGUCCAGAGCUUGUCACAUCUCUCCCUAUUCUCAAUUCAAAGUUAAAUGGAGGCGACCAUGUGGACUUCUUACUUUCACUUUAUGGUAACUGGAAAAAAAAUAUUUUCAGAUCACUCUAGGCGCUGCCAGAAUAUGGAUUAAAGGAACAUCAGGAGUGAUGCGGUAGAUUCACGAUAAUCUUUAUUCACAGGGUUGUCAACGCAUUUUUGGGACGGUGCAUCCUCUUCAUCAGGACAGUAAUUUACAGUGAUCUGAAAAUAUAUUUUUUUCAGUUACCUGUCGAGCCUGUUGUUUGCUUUGGAGCUACACAGAGGACCACAGCUGCAGCCAAGGAUAAAACCGCCUACUGGUCGGGAUCAUAAAUAACCAAAAAAGCUAUUUACAGCCGUUGUGACUCUUCACAACGCGAUCUGUGAGAACAAAUUGGUUCCUUUCUACUUGAUGCCUCCUCGUUGGACCUGGCUGGUUAAUUUUGAUGUUUCAUUUGGAUUUCUGUUCUGGUUGAGAAGCACAACUCGUGCUUAUUCACAAUCAAAUUUUGUGAGAACAAAUUGGUUCCUUUCUACUUGAUGCCUCCUCGUUGGACCUGGCUGGUUAAUUUUGAUGCUUCAUUUGGAUUUCUGUUCUGGUUAAGAAGCAUGACUCGUUCCUUUUCACAUUCAAAUUUUGUGAGAACAAAUUGGUUCCUUUCUACUUGAUGCCUCCUCGUUGGACCUGGCUGGUUAAUUUUGAUGUUUUAUUUGGAUUUCUGUUCUUGUUAAGAAGCACAACUCGUACUUAUUCACAAUCAAAUUUCAGUGAUUUACCAAGAUAUGGGUCAAGAAGCUUAUGCCUUAUGUGGAGAAUCUUUGUUCUGGAACGCUUUUAACAUUUUUUUCUAUAUUUUAUAUGGAGGUCAAAUUUAUGCAGACAUUCAGAAGAGUUUACAAACUUUCAAGCACCACUGUAUGUGAUAAAUACCUACCAUUUUGAAAAGCUGUGGAAAGAAAUCUUGAUCACUCCUAUCUGCACCUGAAAUGUUAGUCUAAUGACAUUAUAUAUAGUAAUUGAGUUGUAUAUUUUGUGUGAAGGCUACAGGAAAAUUAAAGAUUCUGAUUAUCCUUU